AAAGAAAUUGGAAAACUCCCUAAACCCUUUGUUUAUAUACCUGUUCAGUUGCUUCGGCAGGCGGCCCCAGGGCGGGGCCUCCAGCCUGCUCACGCAGGUGCCUGCCGCUGGCGCACAAACUCUUGUUAUUUGUUACCAUUCUGAGUCUAAAAAAAAUGAAUCAAAACUUUCAACAACGGAUCUCUUGGUUCUGGCAACGAUGAAGAACGCAGCGAAAUGCGAUAAGUAAUGUGAAUUGCAGAAUUCAGUGAAUCAUCGAAUCUUUGAACGCACAUUGCGCCCAUUAGUAUUCUAGUGGGCAUGCCUGUUCGAGCGUCAUUACAACCCUCAAGCGCCGUGGUGCUUGGUGUUGGGGCUUCUGCUGCUUGUAGCAGGCCCUGAAAGAUAGUGGCGAGCUCGCCGUGACCCUGAGCGUAGUAGUUUACACCUCGCUUCUGUGGCUCGCGGCGGGUUCUCAGCCGUGAAACCCCCAAUUUUCACAAGGUUGACCUCGGAUCAGGUAGGAAUACCCGCUGAACUUAAGCAUAUCAAUAAGCGGAGGAAAAGAAACCAACAGGGAUUGCCCUAGUAACGGCGAGUGAAGCGGCAACAGCUCAAAUUUGAAAUCUGGCUUCGGCCCGAGUUGUAAUUUGUAGAGGAUGCUUUUGGUGCGGUGCCUUCUGAGUUCCCUGGAACGGGACGCCAUAGAGGGUGAGAGCCCCGUAUAGUUGGACACCUAGCCUUUGUAAAGCUCCUUCGACGAGUCGAGUAGUUUGGGAAUGCUGCUCAAAAUGGGAGGUAAAUGCCUUCUAAAGCUAAAUACUGGCCAGAGACCGAUAGCGCACAAGUAGAGUGAUCGAAAGAUGAAAAGCACUUUGAAAAGAGGGUUAAACAGCACGUGAAAUUGUUGAAAGGGAAGCGCUUGUGACCAGACUUGCGCCAGGUGGAUCAUCCAGCGUUCUCGCUGGUGCACUCUGCCUGGUUCAGGCCAGCAUCGGUUUUCUCAGUGGGAUAAAGGCUCUGGGAAUGUAGCUCCUCCGGGAGUGUUAUAGCCCGUUGCACAAUACCUCUGAGGGGACCGAGGUUCGCGCUCUGCAAGGAUGCUGGCGUAAUGGUCAUCAGCGGCCCGUCUUGAAACACGGACCAAGGAGUCAAGCAUUAGGGCGAGUGUUUGGGUGCAAAACCCGCACGCGUAAUGAAAGUGAACGUAGGUGAGAGCUUCGGCGCAUCAUCGACCGAUCCUGAUGUAUUCGGAUGGAUUUGAGUAAGAGCCUUACCGCUUGGACCCGAAAGAUGGUGAACUAUGCUUGUAUAGGGUGAAGCCAGAGGAAACUCUGGUGGAGGCUCGCAGCGGUUCUGACGUGCAAAUCGAUCGUCAAAUAUGAGCAUGGGGGCGAAAGACUAAAUCGAACAAUUUCAUUCGCC
rnacentral:rRNA from 1 species